rnacentral:rRNA from 1 species
GAUGAACGCUGGCGGCGUGCCUAACACAUGCAAGUCGAACGGAGAUUACGGACGGAAGUUUUCGGAUGGAAGCCUGUACUUCUUAGUGGCGGACGGGUGAGUAACGCGUGGGCAACCUGCCCUAUACAGGGGGAUAGCAGCUGGAAACGGCUGGUAAGACCGCAUAAGUCGGUUAAAUCGCAUGAUUUGAUCGGGAAAUGAGCAAUCAGGUAUAGGAUGGGCCCGCGUCCGAUUAGCCAGUUGGCAGGGUAAAAGCCUACCAAAGCGACGAUCGGUAGCCGAGGUGCGAGGUCGGACGGCCACAUUGUGACGGAGCCACGGCCCAGAAUCCUACGGGAUGCAGCAGUGGGGGAUAUUGCACAACGGCGGAAGCUCUGAUGCAGCGACGCCGGGUGAGUGAAGAAGUAUUUCGGUAUGGAAAGCUCUAUCAGCAGGGAAGAUGAUGACGGUACCUGACUAAGAAGCCCCGGCUAACUACGUG